UACUGCUAGUGAUGCUAAGAGCACUACAUACAAGAAGAAUAGAUACUAACAGUAACUAUGUAUGAUGAAUUACAUUCCAUUGUUAGGUUAAUGACACUAAGAGGAUAAGUACAAUUCUCUGCUAUUGAAGACUACAUUGAGAAGUUAAUUGUUUGCUGUUUGAAGUUGUACAUUAACUGAAGACUAUAAAGAAUUACGUAAAAUAUUGUUUAUAAUUUUAGCUUUUUUGUUUAAUACACAA
rnacentral:lncRNA from 1 species